rnacentral:rRNA from 1 species
GACGAACGCUGGCGGCGUGCUUAACACAUGCAAGUCGAACGGAAAGGCCCCCACCAUUUUUGGUGGGGGUGCUCGAGUGGCGAACGGGUGAGUAACACGUGGGUGAUCUGCCCUGUACUUCGGGAUAAGCUUGGGAGACUGGGUCUAAUACCGGAUAGGACCAUGGUUUAGUGUCUCAUGGUGGAAAAAUUAUUGUUUUGGUGCAGGAUGAGCUCGCGGCCUAUCAGCUUGUUGGUGGGGUAAUGGCCUACCAAGGCGUCGACGGGUAGCCGGCCUGAGAGGGUGGACGGCCACAUUGGGACUGAGAUACGGCCCAGGCUCCUACGGGAGGCAGCAGUGGGGAAUAUUGCACGAUGGGCGCAAGCCUGAUGCAGCGACGCCGCGUGGGGGAUGACGGCCUUCGGGUUGUAAACUCCUUUCGUUAGGGACGAAGCCACACCUUU